UCAAGGUCAGUUGAGGGUGACCUGAGAACAGUUCUGCUGCUGCUGGCUUUUCCUAUGACUUUAUUCUCCGCUGAUGAUCAUGAUAGCACAUCUCUUCUUUUCAAAGCCCAGACUGGUGGAGAUAGGCAUCUAGCUGAUGUGCUGUAGAAGUGUUAUCUAGCAGGUAACAGCAUAUAAUUGAGUUCAUUGGCUGUUUUCCCCCAGAAUUAAAUCCCCUUGAGGUACA